AGAAUGAACGCUGGCGGCGUGCUUUACACAUGCAAGUCGAGCGAGGCGUGUAGCAAUACACAGUCGAGCGGCGAACGGGUGAGUAACACGUGGAUCAUCUACCUUCAGGUGGGGGAUAACCCGGGGAAACUCGGGCUAAUACCGCAUAACAUCGUGAGAUCAAAGGGGCGCAAGUCCCGCCAGAAGAGGAGUCCGCGUUCGAUUAGCUAGUUGGUAGGGUAAUGGCCUACCAAGGCGACGAUCGAUAGCCGGCCUGAGAGGGUGAUCGGCCACACUGGAACUGAGACACGGUCCAGACUCCUACGGGAGGCAGCAGUGGGAAUUUGCGCAAUGGGCGAAAGCCUGACGCAGCAACGCCGCGUGGAGGAUGAAGGUCUUGGAUUGUAAACUCCUGUCAGCAGGAAAAGGGUCUGGCCACACCAGAUCGAUUGAUUGUACCUGCUAGAGAAGCCCGGACUAACGUCUGUGCCAGCAGCCGCGUAAUCUA
rnacentral:rRNA from 1 species